GCAGCAGGCACGCAAAUUACCCACUCCCGGCACGGGGAGGUAGUGACAAAAAAUAACGAUACGGGACUCUAUUGAGGCCCCGUAAUCGGAAUGAGUACACUUUAAAUCCUUUAACAAGGAUCCAUUGGAGGGCAAGUCUGGUGCCAGCAGCCGCGGUAAUUCCAGCUCCAAUAGCGUAUAUUAAAGUUGUUGCGGUUAAAAAGCUCGUAGUUGGUUCUGCGUGCCGCGCUGUCGGUUCGCCGCCUGUCGGUGUAACUGGCAUGUCGCGGCAUGUCCUGUCGGUGGUGAACGGGGUCCACGGUGCUGCAUAGGCUUAACAGCCGAUGUUAGCGCCGUGUGUAUUUCCGUUGGCCGAUCUCUCCUACUCCGGUGCUCUUAAACGAGUGUCGAGGUAGGCCGACACGUUCACUUUGAACAAAUUAGAGUGCUUAAAGCAGGCUGAAAUAUCUGCCUGAAUAGUGGUGCAUGGAAUGAUAAAACAGGACCUCGGUUCUAUUUUGUUGGUUUUAGGAAUAUGAGGUAAUGAUCAAUGUGGACUGGCGGGGGCAUUCGUAUUGCGACGUUAGAGGUGAAAUUCUUGGAUCGUCGCAAGACGCACUAGAGCGAAAGCAUUUGCCAAGUAUGUCUUAAUUGAUCAAGAACGAAAGUUAGAGGUUCGAAGGCGAUCAGAUACCGCCCUAGUUCUAACCAUAAACGAUGCCAGCCAGCGAUCCGCCGAUGUUCCUUUAAUGACUCGGCGGGGAGCUUCUACCCGGGAAACCAAAGCUUUUGGGUUCCGGGGGAAGUAUGGUUGCAAAGCUGAAACUUAAAGGAAUUGACGGAAGGGCACCACCAGGAGUGGAGCCUGCGGCUUAAUUUGACUCAACACGGGAAACCUCACCAGGCCAGGACAUUGGAAGGAUUGACAGAUUGAUAGCUCUUUCUUGAUUCAGUGGGUAGUGGUGCAUGGCCGUUC
rnacentral:rRNA from 1 species